UGAGUUUGAUCCUGGCUCAGGGUGAAUGCUAGGGGUGUAGAUAAGGCAUGCAAGUCGAACGGGUUUAUAUCUUUAUAGAUAUAAACUACGUGGCAAACGGGGCAGUAAUACAUGUCUAACUUACCCUGAAGUUGAGAAUAACCUCCGAAAGGAGACUAAUUCUCAAUAGUUUCAUUCUUACAAAAGUAAGAAUGAAUAAAGGCGUAAGCCGCUUCAGGAAAGGGACAUGGCUGAUCAGCUAGUUGGUGAGGUAAUGGCUCACCAAGGCUAAGACCAGUAGGGGGCCUGAGAGGGUGUUCCCCGCCAUAGGCACUGAGACACGGGCCUAACUCCUACGGGAGGCAGCAGCCGAGAAUAUUGGGCAAUGGGCGAAAGCCUGACCCAGUGACACCUCGUGCCGGAAGAAGUCCUUCGGGAUGUAAACGGCUUUUCUGGGAGAUGAAGUCCCGCUUUUAGCGGGAUUGACAGUAUCCCAGGAAUAAGGGACGACUAACUUCGUGCCAGCAGUCGCGGUAAGACGAAGGUCCCAAGCAUUACCCGGAUUUACUGGGUGUAAAGGGUGAGCAGGCGGAAGUAAAAGUUCUAUCUUAAAUCUUUACUGCUUAACAGUAAAGGUGGAUAGAAUACUUUACUUCUAGAGAAUGGCAGGGGACAGCGGAACGCACGGUGUAGGGGUGAAAUCCGUUGAUAUCGUGCGGAACGCCGAAGGCGAAGGCAGCUGUCUAGGCCAUUUCUGACGCUGAUCUCACGAAAGCUAGGGGCGCAAACCGGAUUAGAUACCCGGGUAGUCCUAGCUGUAAACUAUGGAUGCUAACUCUGGGGAGAUUCGACCCUUUCCGGGGUAAAGCUAACGCGUUAAGCAUCCCACCUGGGGAGUAUAACCGCAAGGUUGAAACUCAAAGGAAUAGGCGGAAGGCUGCACAAGCGGUGGACCAUGUGGUUUAAUUCGACAGUAACCGAAAAAUCUUACCUGGGCUUGACAUGGUAAUCUUAAUGCUCUUUUCGAAAGAAAAGAGAAGCUGAUUUUUUCAGCGGGUUACCACAGGUGCUGCAUGGCCGUCGUCAGCUCGUGAUGUGAAUCGUAACCUUAAGUGGCACAACGAGCGCAACCCUCGUCCUGUGUUACAAGUGUCACAGGAGACUGCCAGGUAUAACCUGGAGGAAGGUGAGGAUGACGUCAGGUCCGCAUGGCCUUUAUGCCCAGGGCUACACACAUGGUACAAUGCAUGGGACAACGGGAAGCAAAGGCGCAAGCCGGAGCAAAUCCCUUAAAACCAUGCCCAGUUCGGAUUGAAGGCUGAAACUCGCCUUCAUGAAGUCGGAAUCGCUAGUAAUCGCGGAUCAGGUAUGCCGCGGUGAAUACGUUCCCAGCCUUUGCACUCACUGCCCGUCAGGCCAGAGGAGUUAUUCUUACCCGAAAACCUAUUAAUUAGGGAUAAGGUAAGGGUAAUGACUAGGGCUAAGUCGUAACAAGGUAUCGCUACCGGAAGGUGGCGAUG
rnacentral:rRNA from 1 species